GGCACGGUGGCUCAGUGGUUAGCGAUGUUGCCUCACAGCAAGAAGGGCGCUGGUUCGAAUCCCGUCUGUGCCA
rnacentral:tRNA from 1 species